AGUUCGCGUGCAAAACAGAUCAAUCAUGCUAAAAACUAGCUGGAUAUUGUGCAGCUACAAAUCAUAGCGACCGACUGACGAUCGAAGAAGGAAAAUUUAUAAGGCCAAACAAUAUGUUCGAAUUAUAUAACAAUAUCGUGGUCUCAUUUUAAUCAAAAAAAUUUCACUAUGUUAAUAAAAUUUUUAAUUAACAAAGUAUUAAAAAUAUAUAAGUUUCAUCGUUACAUUAGUGUUGUCUUACAGAUGCGAAGAUAUGUGAAGCAACUGCGAGCCGUUUAUUGUCAUAAAAUGGUCGCUCCAAACGCCAUGUAUCAUGUACUUACCUAAGUGUCUACAUAGUAUCAGUAGCGUGAGCAGUGAGCAUUCUCAUUUCCUCUCUGUAUAAAAUAAUGCUCGAUGAUAAGUGGGAUUUUCAUGUUGUAUAUAAGAGAACAUUUUAAUACUAAUAAAAUAUAUAUAAAGGUGGUGGCCUAUUCAAUACUCAAAGAGAUACAAAAUACCGAAGUUAAUUAACGAAUUAACGAAUGAAGAAAUUUAUAAAAACAAUAGAAAUGAAUGUGAAAGAUAUACAACAAUUUGUACCAAAAAAUAAGGUUUUAGAUAGAUAUUCCAAGUAUAUAUUAACAUAUAAUUUUCUGAAAUUGAUCAUGUUCAUUAUUCUGCUUGGUGUAAUAAUAGUAUUUUUACAACAAAGCAAAUGCAUUAUUAUAGAAGAAUAUAAAAUAGAUAUAAUCUCUAGAAAUGACGAAAUUCUACAGAAUACGAAUUAUAAACUGGUUAAUGAUUCUAUGAUAUUAUCUAAAAAAGAAAAUUUUGAAUAUGAUAUAGAAUCUCAUGACACAAUAUCGAAAUUUCCUAGAAUUGUACAAAAGCAGUGCAACAACAUUCCCGUUACAUUACGCUUUGAUUGUCAUCCUGAAGAUGGAGCAUCUGAAUUAUCCUGUAGAAAUAGAGGUUGUUGCUGGAAUUCUCUUAACAAAAAAAUAUCAACGACAAGACCUGUUCCUUUGAAUCUUCCAUAUUGUUAUUAUCCAAGUGAUUGGAGCAUAUACAGGUAUCAAAAUUUUAGUAAAGAAGGAAACAACUUUUUUGGAUUCCUCAAACAAAUAAAAAGCUCCUUUUAUGAAGAUGACCUACCACUGGUUAAAGUAGAAACCAGCACUAUAGAUGAUACUAUUCUACGUAUAAAAAUAUAUGAUCCUCUUAAGAAACGAUAUGAACCACCAUGGCCUCUCAGAGCAGAUCCCAAACCAUUUCUUCAAAAAAACGUUAAUGCAAAAUACAAAUUAGAGAUUGAUAAUACUAAACCUGGUUUUAAAGUAUACAGAACUUUAGAUGAUACAGUGAUAUUUGACUCUAUUAAUACAGGAGGUUUCAUAUUUGCUGAUCAGUUUUUGCAGAUAAGCACUCUUUUGCCGAGCCAUAAUAUUUAUGGUAUUGGCGAACAUAAAACGAAGCUAAAAUUAAAUACUAAUUGGCAAAUGUUUACAUUAUUGAACAAGGAUCAACCACCAAUAGAAAAUGCAAAUUUAUAUGGAUCUCAUCCCUUCUAUCUCAUAAUUGAAAAUUCCGGAAGGUCUCACGGGCUUCUAUUUCUCAAUAGUAAUGCAAUGGAUGUGAUAUUACAACCGUCGCCUGCUAUUACCUUUCGAACUAUUGGCGGUGUUUUUGAUAUAUAUUUCUUUCUGGGUCCAACCCCGACAGAUGUCAUAAAACAAUAUUCUGAGAUAAUAGGUAAACCAUUUCUCCCCCCAUAUUGGUCCCUUGGUUUUCAUUUAUGCAGAUACGGAUAUGGAACCUUAGAAAAAACAAAGGAAAUAUGGAAUAGAACCAUAGCAGCGGGAAUUCCAUUUGAUACUCAAUGGAAUGAUUUAGAUUACAUGGAUAAAAAUAACGAUUUCACAUAUAAUCCAAAAACAUUUAAGGAGUUACCACAAUUUGUGAAUGAAAUACAUUCAAGAGGAAUGCAUUAUAUUCCCUUAAUCGAUGCGGGAAUAUCUGGUUCUGAAAAGCACGGAACUUAUUUGCCAUAUGAUGAAGGUAUGAAAGAAGAUAUAUUUAUAAAAGAUGGAGCAACUGAUCAGCCAUUUGUUGGCAAGACGUGGAAUUUUGUUUCUACUGUGUGGCCUGAUUUUACGAAUCCCAAAACGCAAAACUAUUAUUUCCACAUGAUGAGCAACAUGCAUGAUAGUUUUGCAUACGACGGUGCUUGGAUCGAUAUGAAUGAGCCAUCUAAUUUUUACGAUGGACAUAAAAAUGGAUGUCCAAAAAGUAAAUUGGAUUAUCCGAAAUAUGUACCGAACGUUGUAGGAGACAUACUCGCAACAAAAACAUUGUGCAUGAACGCUAAGCAUUACUUAGGUCUUCAUUAUGAUCUUCAUAAUACUUAUGGCACAAGUCAAGCAAUAGCAACGAAUUAUGCACUGACCAAUAUUCGACGAAAAAGACCAUUUAUAAUAUCGCGUUCAACUUGGGUGGGUCAUGGGCACUAUGCUGGUCAUUGGACAGGAGAUGUUUAUUCCUCAUGGCACGAUUUAAAAAUGAGUAUUCCAGCAAUAUUGUUGAUGAAUUUUUACCAAAUACCAAUGGUUGGUGCAGACAUUUGUGGAUUUAAUGGAAAUACAACAGCGGCAUUAUGUAAUCGUUGGAUGCAACUUGGUGCAUUUUAUCCUUUUUCUCGUAAUCAUAAUUCCGACGAUACAAUCGAACAAGAUCCAGUUGCUAUGGGCGAUUUAGUAAUAAAAUCAUCAAAGCGUGCCCUUACGAUACGUUACUGGUUGUUACCCUAUUUAUAUACGUUAUUAUUUCGAGCACAUAAAUUUGGAGAAACUGUAGCACGACCACUAUUCUUUGAAUACUCGAACGAUUCGGCCACAUACGAUAUCGACACUCAGUUCUUAUGGGGUAGUUCUUUGAUGAUAAUUCCAGUUUUAGAAGAAAACAAAACGAAAGUAUCAGCUUAUUUACCACAUGGAGUGUGGUAUAAUUUUUAUACAAAAGAAUCCGUCUUCGCGCUGGGUAAAUAUUACACGAUGAAUGCGCCACUCGAUACUAUACCAUUGAUGAUUCGCGGAGGAUCCAUUUUACCAGUACAGAAACCAGCUGAUACUACAACUAGCAGUAGAAAGAAUAAUUUCGAAUUAUUGAUUACUUUGGAUCAUGUGAAAAAGGCAAAAGGCGAACUAUAUUGGGAUGAUGGCGAUAGUUUAGGACUAGAUUUCGGUUCGACUGUUGGUUUGAGCUGGUUCAGAUUCGCUGGAGAAGGAACAAUUUGUAUGGUCAGUUUUCACCAUUGAGAAUAAUACUCUAUCCGCUGCCAAAGCAAUGAAGAGUUCUUUUAAUGAAAAAAUGAUCUUAGGAGAAAUACAAAUAUGGGGAAUAACAUCUAAUAUUUCACGAGUAUCUUUAAACAAUCACGAAAUACAAUUUAAAUAUGACAGCAAAGAAAAUUGUUUGAACAUAAGCAACUUACAAAUAGACUUAAGAGAGAAUUUCUUGCUUUCUUGGGAAUACACUGAUUUUGAACAACACGAUGACAGUAACAAAUGACAGUAAACUUGCUCAAAAUAUAUGUUCACUUGUAUUACAUAUAAUAUUGUUGCUACAGGUAUGAUAUACAAAAUAUAUUUCAAUCGUUUUUAAUAUUAAUUUUACUAUAAUACUCUAUUUGUAUACAUAUAUUCCUACAUGUUAAAGCACAUAUUUUUUGAAUAAAGAAGAGAAGCAUUUUAUUGAAAUAACUGUACAAUUGACUAUACAAUAAAGUAGAAUACGUUAUGGCACUAGAACGAAUAAAAAUAAUAAGUAUACAUAAUUCGAAAUGUUUCGAAAUAAUCCAUUCUCCGCGUAUUAAUUAGAACGUAAUUAAAUGUAACGCAGACUUUACAUAUAGUUCGUUCAUAAUUGAAAGCAAUAGGAAAUAUAACAACACAGGUAAUCGAUCAUCACACAAUAGAUAAUGUUGAAUGAAAAAUUUCACUUUGGCACCGUUUAACGUAUAUAAAAUAAAGCAAUUCGAGCACUUAAACAGCA